AUCACUUUUUCCCACAACCUAGGAGACAUACGGAGCUGACGCGGUGGAGCACGGGUCUCUGGCUGAGCCACGCUCUGGGUCCGCCCCCUUGCUUCCCCCGCCUCAACCCCGGCACUUGACACCUCUUCUGCCGUGUGGAGGCGAGGUGGAAGGUGAGCUGUGGCCUGGUCCGGUGGAACCUAGAGGCUGCUGAGAUCAGCUGUUGGUCCUCACCGGAACCAGCAGCAGCUCAGGAUUGUGUCUUGACCCUCCCUGAUGCAAAAACUGCCAGAGAGCAGGACUUCUGAGAUGGCAGGAUUAGCCUGAAGGUAAAAGGACCAGGGAACAGGCCACAGAGAGCUGCUGAAAUAUCAUUCAGGUGUCUCUCAAAGUCAAGAGCCACUCUAAUAGCUGUCUGCCACCAGCGAGGCCAGGCAAAGGUUAGGAGGAGUUUGCUUGGAGGCCUACCGCCCGCCCCUCUGAGGGAGGCACAGGCACCGAGGGGACAGUUGGUGGGGACCACACAGCCCAAUCCACUUCCUGAAGGGAUGUGGAGGCUGGAGCAGGAGCCCAGGGAGAAUCCAGACAUCAGCCUGGGUGGAAACAGAAGAGGGUACAGGCCUAGCCUGGUGAGGCCUGGACAAGAGGGGCGGAGAUCAUCAGAAAGAUGCAGGGUGUCACUGGGCGGGCAGUAGACCUCAGCGGUUCAGAGCUUGGAUUCUGGGGCCAGAGUCUGGGCUUGAUUCCCUGCUCCUCCCGCGAUGAGCUGGGUGACCAUGGGCAGGUUACUUCACCACUCAGGCCCCAAGUUCCUCAGUCACUGCAUCUGACACAUAGUGAGCACCAGUCUAGACACAGGGGAUGCAUCAGUGAACAGAACGGUUCCUCCUCUCUGGGGGCCUCACUUCCAGCAGAAACUUACCACAAACAAUACCCAUAAUAAAUAAGUGCGUUAUAAAGUACGUUAGACAGCCAGGCUUGCUCUGGACCAGAGGUAAAAGGAAGAUCAAGGCAUAGGAAUCAGGUUGCAGUAUUAAACAGGGGGCUGAGGCUAGGUGUCAUCAAGAAGAAAAGAUUUGAGCCAAGACCUCAAACGGCUGCGGGAGAGAGCCGAGCGGCGCUGGGGGAGAGCAUCGCAAGGCAAGAACACGUGCCUGGCAAGUUGACUGACCCAUGGAUGGUCUGUUGUGACAGAGCAGAGGGAGGGAGAGAGAGGAAGGGGCCAUGAGGCCCGAGAGGCCACAGGGGCAGAUCACACAGGGCCUCCUAGGCCACUGGAAAGACUUGGACUCAACUCUGAAACUAGAAACCACUGCAGAGUUCUGAGCAGAGCUGUGACCUAAUGUAACCUAUGGUUUAGGACAGACUGGGAGUGGGCGAUAGAAGCAGGAAGACCUGGUAGGAGGCGAGUGAGUGCACUCAUCCAGGGGAGAGAUGGCGUGCCUCGGCCCAGGCUGGUGGCAGAGGACGUGGUGAGAAGGGUCAGAUUCUGGAGACAUAUCGAAGAUAGAGCCAGAUCGGACAGUGAUUUGCAGUGACAGAGAGAAGAGGCGGGGAUGGCCGCAAGGAUUUUAGCUUAAGCAGCUGGAAGGGUGGAGUUGCCAUCAACUGAGAUGGAGCAGGUUAAAUUUGACAUGACUCUUAGACAUUCAGGUCGUAGCGGUACCUAGCUCAGGGGAACACUAUGAAGAUUAAACGAGGCCACCUGUGUAAGGAGCUUAGCCCCAAUGCCGGAUAUGUGGCAAGUCCAAAGUCAUCAUCAUCAACCAUCCUUGUCGUCAUCUGCAUCAUCAGCAUCCUGGGAAUGGGAUUGUCCAAGGGCUCAGGGGAAGUAAUUUUGAUUUGUGCUGGUCCCUUGGCACUAAGCAUCAUCUCCACCCCUAAAGGAGGAUGUGGCCCCAGCUGCUGACUGGAACUGGGACCCGUGCCAAGGUCAACCAGUGUCCCAACUUUGUGUGGCCCCAUCUCUAGUGAGGAGAUGAGCUGUGCACCCAAAGCCUAAUGCAAAUCCUGGUGCAUUUCCCACCAAAGUCACUGCCCUGUCACUCAGUGAUAAACCCUUCCACAGUCAACAUUUGGAGAUGUCACUGACAGUUUGGAAUCGGGAGCCAGGGGUCUGCUCAUCCGGACUCAUCCAGUCUGCAGACAGCUGGCCAAUGGAGGGCACCCGCCCUGCAUUUUGGAAUGGAAAGGGGAAGGUGCUUUUUCGUGAAGCAGCCACAGCACAGGGUUAAUGGAGCACAAAGUUGCUGGUGAGUCCGUACUGUGCGAGCCAAUGGAAUGAAAAAAGCUAAAUGUAAUUGCAGGGAUGGCCAGGCCAACAAUUCCAAACCCCAGGAGACCCGCAGAUCAGUAGAUAAAGGGCAGGCCCUGGGUCAGAGGGCCAGAGGCCAUCGAGGUCCAGAGGCCUGCCAAGGUAGGGCGCUCUUCCAGGACAGGAGUGCCCCUUAGCAUGCCCAGAGGCACUGUCCCUCUAGCUGAUGUCUCACUGAUGACCCAUGGGCUGUUUCCUCCCACAUGGACCCUGGAAAAGCAAAGAACCACAUGCGCCAACUCCCUGGGAGGCACCAAGAGAGGAUCAGCCACAGAGCCAUUUGUCAUGAGGACCCCAGCCUCCACUCCCACCUCCUGAGGGGGCUGGCCUCUGUGCUCACCACCAUUUGUGCCACUCACAGGAUCCUCUAUCAGAAAGUGGUGGCAUCUGUGUUCAAGGGUCACCAACCCCAAAACUGGCUUCCCACAAAUCUCUCAGCAGCCAUUUAAGCUCUGUGAUUUUCACUCACGCUUCAGAAGUCAG
rnacentral:lncRNA from 1 species